UACGUAGGGACCGAGCGUUGUCCGGAAUCAUUGGGCGUAAAGAGCGUGUAGGCGGCCACUUAAGUCCUGCGUGAAAUCUUGCGGCUCAACCGCAAGCGGUCGUGGGAAACUGGGUGGCUAGAGUGCGGGAGAGGAGAGUGGAAUUCCUGGUGUAGCGGUGGAAUGCGCAGAUAUCAGGAGGAACACCAAUUGCGAAGGCAGCUCGCUGGAACGUAACUGACGCUGAGACGCGAAAGCGUGGGGAGCAAACAGG
rnacentral:rRNA from 1 species